GCUGGGCGUGGUGGCGUACACCUGUAAUCCCAGCAACUUGGGAGGCUGAGGAAGAAGAAUCACAAGCCAGCCUUAGCAAUUUAGGCAGUAAGCAACUAGGUGAGACCUUGUCUCUA
rnacentral:sRNA from 1 species